CUUUCAGAAGAACAGCUGGAGAUUUAGCCUAGCUAGGAGAACGCGGCUAGUCAGCAGGUCCAAGGCAGCAGAACCGUGUGAGGCUCUCUGGUCCCAAGGGCCAGGGUCAGGGACCUGCCCUGGUGGUCGCACAGCCUGGCCUUGGGGCAGAGCAGGAGUGGCAAGGGUCAGAGGCACAGACUUGGAUGCUGUCAGCUUCCUAUGCCACCCUCCAUGGGUGGUGGCACAUGCCAGCCGGGCAGUGACAGGCAGGAAACACCUAUAUGAAGAUGCUUCGGAAUGCCAGAGAUGCUGUGGAUCCACAGUAGAUCUGAAUGCCUGGGUUUGGUAGCAGUCACUGGGGAAUGGCAAGGGAAGGCGUAUGCCCGAGACCUUGUCACCUGGAGAAGGAAGGAUGAAAUGCUCAUGCCUAUAGACCCACUAUGUGCUGGGCUCAGCACCAGGCCAGAAACCAUAUCUGAACCAGCGAGACUAGAGUUAUUUGAGGAUGAUCCCUAGAAUGGAGAUUUCAAAUCACACUGUGCAAAUGAAUCCCCUGGGGACUUUGUUAAAAUGCGGAAUCUGACUUGCAAGCUCUCAGGUGAUGUGGAUGCUGCUGGUCCACAAACCACACUUGGAGUAGAAAAGCCCUAGUCUAGACUGCUAAACUUUUAUGAAGGAAGGUACUGGAACAGGCAUGUCUUGUUCUCUGCUCUAUCCUCCAGGUCUAGCAUGGUACCUGAUACAGAAGUGUGGAGGGGGAGGGCAAGGAGGCUCAAUAUAUGCUGUAUGAAUAAAUGAGUGAAUGAAUAAUGAAUAUUGGAUCCAUUCACAUGCUUAUACUGGCCUUUUUAACCAGAAAAGUGAUGCAUGUCCAAGGUAACAUCAUGAAAAGCAAGCCUUCCCUCCUCUCUGGGCUUCUGGACACCUUUUGACAGGUCUUCACUUAUUUUGUUUUAUCCUUUCAGAAAUUAUUGUUAAUAUACAUCUUUUUUCCUGACACAAAUAGCAAUAUAUUACAGGCAUUACUCCACGUCUUGUGGCUUUUUUCAUAAUAUCUAUACUGGGGAUUGCGGAGUCUGAAUCUUUGUGUCUGCCCCAAAGUUUAGAUGUUGAAACCU
rnacentral:lncRNA from 1 species